rnacentral:rRNA from 1 species
AACGAACGCUGGCGGCAUGCCUAAUACAUGCAAGUCGAACGAGACCUUCGGGUCUAGUGGCGCACGGGUGCGUAACGCGUGGGAACCUGCCUUUAGGUUCGGAAUAACUCAGAGAAAUUUGAGCUAAUACCGGAUGAUGUCUUCGGACCAAAGAUUUAUCGCCUUUAGAUGGGCCCGCGUUGGAUUAGCUAGUUGGUGGGGUAAAGGCCUACCAAGGCGACGAUCCAUAGCUGGUCUGAGAGGAUGAUCAGCCACACUGGGACUGAGACACGGCCCAGACUCCUACGGGAGGCAGCAGUGGGGAAUAUUGGACAAUGGGCGAAAGCCUGAUCCAGCAAUGCCGCGUGAGUGAUGAAGGCCUUAGGGUUGUAAAGCUCUUUUACCCGAGAUGAUAAUGACAGUAUCGGGAGAAUAAGCUCCGGCUAACUCUGUG